rnacentral:snRNA from 1 species
ACCAUGAUCAGGCAGGUGGUUUUCCCAGGGCAAGGCUUAUCCCUUGCACUCUGGGUGUGCUGACCCCUGCGAUUUCCCCAAAUGUGGGAAACUCGACUGCGUAAUUUGUGUAUUGGGGGACUGCGUUUGCACUCUCCCCUG